GCAGAAGGAUCAUUAGUGAAGAUUCAAGGGCCAGCCAUACAGACGUACAAUAAGUGUGUCUCUGGCGGCUCGCAUCCACUAUACAUCCAUAAACCCGUGUGCACUGUUCUAAGGAGUAAGAAAGAAGAAGGGGAGGGGAGAGAGAGUGCAUGUGCUUUGCAUAUAACUCUCUCUCACUCUCCACUCUCUCUCUCCGGUUAAUUACAAACUCGUAUGGAUUUGUAUGAACGUGAGAUAUAUCGUUGGACCGUCACUGGCCAACAAAUAUAACACAACUUUCGACAACGGAUCUCUUGGUUCUCCCA
rnacentral:misc_RNA from 1 species